rnacentral:lncRNA from 1 species
AUUUUGGGGGCGUCGCGGAUGGUCGCGAGUGACCGCCGGCCAAGAUCCCGGGAGCCGUCGGCCAGAGCAUCUUCUGGGCUCUGCUAGAAAACAGCCUCCUGCCUCCCGUUUACUCCAAGGGAAUCGCCGGCCAGGGCCCUUUCUGUCCUUCACCUACCUCUGCAGGAACCAGAAUGCUCUUUCGUCACUUUCUGCAGAAAAUAUCUCCGUUGUCCCCCGACGUCAGAGCCUCCUGCACCUCAGCUCGUCUCCCUUUUCCCUGACCCGAACCAGAACCCUGAUCUUGGAUUCUCUUUUAUCUUGUGGCCUCCGCAAUCAUUUUGCAGCCUGACAUCUUUUUCUAUGUAAUAUUUAUCACCUUCUAGUUAAUAACAUAAUUUUAAAAAUCAUUUUCAUCAUUUUGCCUCCCGUCCUACGAUAAGCUUCACCAGAGCAAGGAUCUCUUGUUCUGUGCCUUGCUUCACCCCAAACGCCUACAACAGGGACUGGUACAUACUACAUGCUUAAUAAAUAUUUGUUGACUGAAUGAAUGGAAACCGGGGACGCAAAUUUACCAAAAUAGGAAUGACCUUCGUUCUAAACUGAAAGGGACUCAGUUGUAAAUUUACCUCAGAGUUAGCCUCUCAAAAAGUAGGGAUGCUGAUCCCAGUUCCUAGAAAAGAGUAAAAACUAGGGGCUCUGCAAACUGCAGGACCGCUCAUACCAGCUGCAGUUAAAACAACAUUAAAGCUGGCAUCCUAGCUGUUAACCGUUGAGAUAUGUAAAAAAGAGAUUGACUUCGUUUACGUUGCUGGGCUCCGGAUUUUGUUCUCAUUUAGUUACAACAAAUAUUUACCCUGUAUCUAUUGGAGUAGAAGAGGAAUCUUCGAUGCAGCACAGAUUCCGGUGUAUUCUCGGGAGCUGGUUUCCGCCCCUCCCCAAGCCUUCAAAAGCUAGGUGUGGGUCCUACAGAGUAAAGUCCACUUACCAGCUCCUCAGCUGGGAUGCAAAGUCUCUGCAUUCCAGAGCAAGCUGUAUAUAAGGAUUAGGGCCAUCAAACCGGCCUGUUCCCUGGGGAGGAACAGCAAAAAACAUGUAGUGGGG